rnacentral:lncRNA from 1 species
CACUUAUUUAAAGCUAUUAUAGAUCACAUUAGGGUGGACCAAUUUGUGUAUAAAUCCUAAUAUUUUUGUCUGUUUUGACCUUAGUUUAAAUCAUUUUUCACAGAAUUCUGAGUCAAAGUUCGGAGCACCUCUAAGUAUCUUGACAUAUAUUAUUACAUUGCUUUUCGGGAAACUUCCAUGAAUUUAUGUAUCUACCAGCCAUGUGUGAGAAUGCCUGCUUCACUUCAUGCUCAACUACAGAAUCCAUUAAAUUGAACUGGCAAACUGUAUCUGCGAAGGUCGGCACUGAGCUCUUCUCAGCACGAACACGGACGUGAUCAUGGAGGUGACAAGGGCUCUUGAAAAUGUUUGUAAUUCACAUAAUUAUUGGAACUUCUGAAGGACGAAGGACGUAAGCAGACCAGAGCCUUGAUGAUGUCUGCUCUCUGAAGUUCUUAUUGCUGAAAUCUAAGAAGCCGGAGAAGGGUGGUCUCAAUAUAUUGAGUUUGUAACACAUUACGCUCUUGGAGAUUCAGACUUGGAAUUCAAACUCUACUUGACAUUUCUGAACUUCAUUAAAUUCACGACCAGUCGGAACAUCCUUUAGAACAGAACAUUUCCACUGAGUCCGUAGGAGACUGUUUUCGUUUGGUAUUUGGGACUCAAUUACUUCGGAAGGACGUUUGCCCAUAGAAGUUGACUGAUUCAUUCAUGUUCUGUCCUCAAAGAUAUCGUAGCUUAAAAAAGUGAACUCCAUUCCCACUUCUUGUUGUUUAUUAAAUGCUCUUCAUCAUUAAACUUGUAUUUCUGUAACAAUAA